UACGUAGGGUGCGAGCGUUGUCCGGAAUUAUUGGGCGUAAAGAGCUUGUAGGCGGUUUGUCGCGUCUGCUGUGAAAAUCCGGGGCUCAACCCCGGACUUGCAGUGGGUACGGGCAGACUAGAGUGUGGUAGGGGAGACUGGAAUUCCUGGUGUAGCGGUGAAAUGCGCAGAUAUCAGGAGGAACACCGAUGGCGAAGGCGGUUCUCUGGGCCUUACCUGACGCUGAGGAGCGAAAGCAUGGGGAGCAAACAGG
rnacentral:rRNA from 1 species